UAACGCUUAAACAAGUGACCAGUAAAGACCAAACGAGCAGGAGUUAUUCCCAGUUCUGCCAACUGGUUAACCUUGGAUAUAUCACAUUAAUGUGUUUGCUGUUCUGCUCCCUCCUCCUGGAAAACAGGGUAAUAUUUACUGCAUUCCCAGAGGAGACUUAUCCCAUUAAAAGACUGAAAUCCUUCAGCAGACCACCAAUGCAGCAGUGAGGAUGAUGAGCUCUCCAUCCAAGGCACUGAGGUUUAUACAGAAUGCAGAGCUCUUCUCACUUUUGUGAAACAGCCGAAGAAUUUCUGUAUUGUUAUCACUGCUACUCCUGCCUGAAGCUCAAAGUCUGUAAUGGUUGGAUCAGCGCUGCUUGCUAAAUGCUGUAUAACCGAGUGACAAUGACCCUGUUCAUCAGCCCUGAUGCCUAAGGACACAGCCAGGCCAGGCAUGAGCUCAGCACUUACAGGAGACAGAGAAGAUUCAAGCUUGGCAAAGCUGAGCAAAGUCAAACAGACAUGCAGGAAUGGGACAACCUAAAGAUAGAAGAACUUAAUAGGAAACAACAUGUCCAUGGAGGAAAAAAAAAAAAGUUCUCAUUUUGCAUCAGUGGCUGCUGGGCUGCAGAAGCUGUUUAAACACCCUUCCUGCCCCUGGACCCCCCACCUGCUGCUCCCAGUGACUGAGACCCAGGGAUACUGGGUGGAGUCAUCCCAGGGAUUUUAUACCUGAACUGGUGGGCAUGACCUCUCUGACUUGAGUGGGGAAAUUAAUUCAAAUUCCAUUUGCAUGAAUGAUGGGGACAGAGCCAGGGCAGAGGACCCCAGUGGUCCAAGGUGCCAAAGCACCAACAGAAUGAGAACACAAGGUAGGAAACUGUGGAAAUUCUCACCCAGGUGUGCUACAAUAAAAUAAUGCACCCUAAGGUGACCACAGACAGAAGAUAAACCUCUGCUUAAAGGAGUGAGACUAAAACCUGGUUCCACAGUUCCUGGUGAACUGUGUUCAAUGCAAGCUGAAUGUAACAGAACCAAAGCAAAACCCAAGCUGCCACUUCAGAAAGUGAUAAAGCAUAAAAGCACAACAGACACUGUCCACACAGCAUUUCCUACAGCUUAAGGUCUACUACCCUGCUCAGAGGAGUAGAAAUAGCUGUGGGGAAAAAUUAGGGAAAUGCAUUCACAAGAGUUCCAGGAGACUCUUCCAACUACCUGGAACUUCUGACAAGCAGAGAGAAGGUGCAUUUCAGUGCAGACAGACUGAGCACAUGCACUCCCUACACAGCCAGGUGUUGGGGGCAUGGCAGAGGACUGUGCCCUGCUGCUGGCUUUGUGUUUCCAUGCUGAGAUCCCACCUCCAGCUUCUCCUGUGAGCUCCUCUCUCCUCAUCCAGGGCUACCUGUUCUCCUGCACUUUAGCUACAAACCCGCCAAGGCCAGAGCCUCUCUUGCUCUUUAUCUGUACAUUUUUCAGUGCAGCACAGCCUUUUUCCAAGGCCAGGGCUCGGGACUGCACAGCUAAACAAGUAAUAAGGAUUUUGUUUCACAGCUAACUAGAAUUCACCACUUAUUAGGAACAGCACUGUGCAUGUCCAAGUGUCACAUUUAAAAAGGUCUUUAAGAUGUCUCUUAGACAACCAGGCUCAAAACUGCUAUGGUUUGAUGUAACCUCACAAGUUUCCAGCACAUGGGCUGGGUUCUUUCUGCUGGAGGUAAGUUUUGACAGUAAGGGAUCAUUUUUCCAAAGCAGACAAGAUCUCUCUCCAGUCAGCUUUGCUUUCCCUCUAGUUAGGGCUUGAAUUAUCACAAUAACAAGUGACUCAAAUGGGGGUUUGUUGCUGUUUUUUCAAUUAGGAGAGCGGAGCAGAGAGGUAUCACUAACUGCAAGCUCUAAUUUGCUGUUAAAAUAGGACUUGGCCUGGAAACAUUUUAUCUCUUAAUCCUUGGAGUAACAGGAGGUGGCUCAGAAUCAAAUUCAAAACAAAUCUCCAACCUGGAAAGCUGCUUUAUGACACGGCUGAACCCAUGACCAAUUUGUUUAACUUCAGGUUGAAAGAACUAACACGGAUAAUUUGAUUACAUAAUGAUUCAGCUUUCUACCACGUAAAUAAAUUUUGGGAAGCUGCAACAGCAACUCCUAUUUCAGACAAUUCCUUCCUAACAGAAAUUUCUGUCAACUGCUUAAGGAACAGGAUUAUACAAUUCUCUACGACUUCUUGCCUCUGCCAGUACUUUCUUUCCACCUUUGAUAGUUUCUCUGAGUUUAAACACUAUUCCAUUUAAGAAGAUAAAAGUGCCAGCCAAGAGAGGAUUUUAAAUACAACCUCUUACAUUCCUUGAGGUUAUCUAGGCAGAGAAAGACCAAGGAUGCUGCAAGCCUUCCUCUCCCUUGCUCUUCGCAUAAUUUUUCAUUAAAUUUAAAAUGGAUUGUCAUUAAUAAUGCAUGCAGAAGAAGACUCUGUA